AGAACGAACGCUGGCGGCAGGCCUAACACAUGCAAGUCGAACGCAACUUCGGUUGAGUGGCGCACGGGUGAGUAACGCGUGGGAAUCUGCCCUGUGGUACGGAAUAACAUCGGGAAACUGGUGCUAAUACCGUAUAUCCCCCGAGGGGGAAAGAUUUAUCGCCAUGGGAGGAGCCCGCGUAGGAUUAGCUAGUUGGUGAGGUAACGGCUCACCAAGGCGACGAUCCUUAGCUGGUCUGAGAGGAUGAUCAGCCACACUGGGACUGAGAUACGGCCCAGACUCCUACGGGAGGCAGCAGUGGGGAAUAUUGGACAAUGGGGGAAACCCUGAUCCAGCCAUGCCGCGUGUGUGAUGAAGGCCUUCGGAUUGUAAAGCUCUUUCGACGGGACGAUGAUGACGGUACCCGUAGAAGAAGCCCAGGCUAACUUCGUGCCAGCAGCCGC
rnacentral:rRNA from 1 species